AUGUACCAGGCGUCCACUCCGGUUCCCGUGCGCCGUCCGCACCCACCUGACGACUGCUCGCUACGUUUUUUUGUUGGCC
rnacentral:sRNA from 2 species